rnacentral:rRNA from 1 species
AUUGAACGCUGGCGGCAGGCCUAACACAUGCAAGUCGAGCGAGCGGCGGACGGGUGAGUAAUGUAUGGGGAUCUGCCUGCUAUAGGGGGAUAACUACUGGCAACGUUGGCUACUCCCGCAUACUAUCGGAUGAACCAAUAUGGGAUUAGCUAGUCGGUGGGGUAAAGGCUCACCUGGGCGACGAUGUCUAGCUGGUCUGAGAGGAUGAUCAGCCACACUGGGACUGAGACACGUCCAAGACUCCUACGGGAGGCAGCAGUAGGGAAUAUUGCGCAAUGGACGAAAGCCUGAGGCAGCCAGGCCGCGUGAGUGAAGAAGGGCGUAGGGUAGGAAAGGACUGUCGGCAGGGAGGCGUUACCCGAAGAGGAAGCACCGGCUAACUCCGUGCCAGCCGCCGCGGUAAUAC